UUACUACAGGCCACCUCUUGCUGGCUUGACCCUUUUUCUCAUUUUUGAGACGUCUCUCAUUUAGAGUUUCCCCAGUCCGAAACCUUGUAUCUAAUCAUCGGGGUGAUGGGAUGGAGGAGGAAUGUCUUUGCCUCCUGAGAUUUUCGAAUUUGCCACAACCAUCUCAUCCAUCAUCCAUCCACUACACUCACUGUGGCCUUGAUUGAUACGGGGGCGAACUUUCGGGUCGAAAUGCCCCGAACAUGCAAAAAUUUUAUAUCUGCAGCGAUUGGCUGCGCUCUCUCUUUUUUCUCUCUCUCUCUAUUUUUUUUUUUUUUUUUUUUUUUUUUUUGGCCCUGUCUUGCAGGAUGGGCGAUGGUGAUCGGAUGUAAGUUGCCAGUUGGCCGCAAAUAACAGGCAAACAACUCAGCGCAGACGGAAGAGAGGAACAACUCAUGCCUUACGAGGGAGGACUUUUUACCCUAUUGGCAUACAGCCGCCUACCAGUAGUGUGAGUUGUUGAUGGCCCGAAACCAGUAACCGACCGACAACGACAAUGACGGUGACGAUGGGUUGCCCGACGAAGCCUCUUCCCGCAGCCUCUGGGAAAAACAAAGAAAGAGAGAGAGAGAGAGAGAGAGAGAGAGAGAAAAAGAAAAGAAAAUCUGGUGGAGCUUCACGCCACACGCCACACGCCACACGCCAACACCUUCUACGCUGAAGAAAGAUGUGGACGCAGCCAAGUGGUCUCCUCCUCGCCCUGGUUUGUACCCGAUGACGACGACCACUUGCUGCGAAGUUCCUACAUUAGGGCGGGCGCGCUUCCCCUCCGCGGGAAGUUCAGUUCAGAUCGUUGGUUGGGCCAGGAGAAAGGGAAAUUGAAAUUGUUCUCAUUGGCAGAAGGCGCGAAUUGAGUUGGUGGACGUCAUUGGAUGAUUAAGUGCCUGGCUAUACUGCGUACAACAUUGGUUGGUGGACGUGCUCUUUCUUUGCUGCAGGCGCGAGUUUGUUGUUGAGAUGGAUGUUAUGCGUGCCGUAGGUGCCACUGCCAGCCAGGUGGGCGAUCAAGAAGGCUUUUUACAUCAUCGGGUCCCAAAAGGUCGGCGUCAGAAUUCAAGUCUUCUAAAUUAAGUGCAGCCCAUAUUUUACUGGUGGGGUUGCUUAUCCUGAUAAAACAUCAGCCAAGGAUUUGCGGUGUCUUUGACAAACAGCAAUAAUGAAGCCCAAUCAAUGAAUCCCUCAAGGAGAGAGAGAGAGAGAGAGCAUUAAAAUCAGGGAAACAAAUGACAGAUGGAUGUUGCUCGUGGCGGUGUACGCUGCUCUUAAAAAUAGCUAGGCCAGAGAUAUCUUUCCGCCGAGUUGCUCCUCUCUCCUACGCUUCGGUUGCUUCUAUUUGUGAAUGAUGACUGUUUCAUAAACAACAUCGGAGGUAGGUAGCUAGCUAGCACAGGAAGAGAUGGCUCUUUGAGAAAAUAUAUCCCUCUCUUUUUAAAGCCCGUGUCUAACUAAAGGUCAUAUGGGAGGGAAUAUUCCCGGGUAGCACUGUAACCUUUAGUUAAAUAUAUAUGCAUUUACUGUAUAUAUAUAACCCAGCCCACCAUGCAUAUAUAGUAAUAACAACAGCAACAAUAGGCUCAGCCACCCGAUAUUCCUAAGUGAUUCUCCUCCGUUGUCCUUCUCUCCAUCGCUACUAUGUAUGUACUAGUACUACCAACAAUAAACAUCUUUACCGGAA
rnacentral:sRNA from 1 species